AGGAUCAUUAUCAAAAGUCAAGUCGGGGGCUGUAAAGCUCUCGUCUACACCCAUGUCUUUUGCGUACUCUUGUUUCCUCGGUGGCGCAAGCUGCCGAUUGGACAAACCAAAACCUUUUUUGUAAUUGCAAUCAGCGUCUGAAAAUAAUCUAAUUAUUUACAACUUUCAACAACGGAUCUCUUGGUUCUGGCAUCGAUGAAGAACGCAGCGAAAUGCGAUAAGUAGUGUGAAUUGCAGAAUUCAGUGAAUCAUCGAAUCUUUGAACGCACAUUGCGCCCCUUGGUAUUCCAUGGGGCAUGCCUGUUCGAGCGUCAUUUGUACCCUCAAGCUUUGCUUGGUGUUGGGCGUCUUGUCGUAUUACGACUCGCCUUAAAUUUAUUGGCAGCCGGCACUUUGGCCUAGGAGCGCAGCACAUUUUGCGAUCGUAGCCCGUUGUACUGGCGUCCAUCAAGAACAUUUACCACGUUUGACCUCGGAUCAGGUAGGGAUACCCGCUG
rnacentral:rRNA from 1 species